UACGUAGGGUGCAAGCGUUGUCCGGAAUUAUUGGGCGUAAAGAGCUCGUAGGCGGCUCGUCGCGUCGGCUGUGAAAACCUGGGGCUCAACCCCGGGCCUGCAGCCGAUACGGGCGAGCUAGAAUUCGGUAGGGGAGACUGGAAUUCCCGGUGUAGCGGUGAAAUGUGUAGAGAUCGGGAGGAACACCAGUGGCGAAGGCGGGUCUCUGGGCAACUCCUGACGCUGAGGCGCGAAAGCGUGGGGAGCAAACGGG
rnacentral:rRNA from 1 species